rnacentral:rRNA from 1 species
GACGUAGGGGGCGAGCGUUGUCCGGAUUUACUGGGCGUAAAGCGUGCGUAGGCGGCUGCGCAAGUCGGGUGUGAAACCCCGGGGCUCAACCCCGGAACUGCAUCCGAUACUGCGUGGCUAGAGGUAGGUAGGGGAGAUCGGAAUUCCUGGUGUAGCGGUGAAAUGCGCAGAUAUCAGGAGGAACACCGGUGGCGAAGGCGGAUCUCUGGGCCUUACCUGACGCUCAGGCACGAAAGCUAGGGGAGCGAACAGG